rnacentral:rRNA from 1 species
AUGAACGCUGGCGGCGUGCCUAAUACAUGCAAGUCGAGCGAACAGACGAGUAGCUUGCUCCUCUGACGUUAGCGGCGGACGGGUGAGUAACACGUGGAUAACCUACCUAUAAUACUGGGAUAACUUCGGGAAACCGGACCUAAUACCGGAUAAUAUAUUGAACCGCAUGGUUCAAUAGUGAAAGACGGUUUUGCUGUCACUUAUAGAUGGAUCCUCGCCGCAUUAGCUAGUUGGUAAGUUAACGGCUUACCAAGGCAGCGAUGCGUAGCCGACCUGAGAGGCUGAUCGGCCGCACUGGAACUGAACCACGGUCCAGACUCCUACGGGAGGCAGCAGUAGGGAAUCUUCCGCAAUGGGCGAAAGCAUGACGGAGCAACGCCGAGUGAGUGAUGAAGGUCUUCGGAUCGUAAAACUCUGUUAUUAGGGAAGAACAAAUGUGUAAGUAAAUAUGCACGUCUUGACGGUACCUAAUCAGAAAGCAACGGCUAACUACGUG